rnacentral:rRNA from 1 species
CAAUAGCGUAUAUUUAAGUUGUUGCAGUUAAAAAGCUCGUAGUUGGAUUUCGGAUGGGACUUGCCGGUCCGUCGUUUCGAUGUGCACUGGCCAGUCCUAUCUUGUUGUCGGGGACUAGCUCCUGGGCUUCACUGUCCGGGACUAGGAGCUGACGAGGUUACUUUGAGUAAAUUAGAGUGUUCAAAGCAAGCCUACGCUCUGAAUACAUUAGCAUGGAAUAACACGAUAGGACUCUGGCUUAUCUUGUUGGUCUGUGAGACCAGAGUAAUGAUUAAGAGGGACAGUCGGGGGCAUUAGUACUCACAUGCUAGAGGUGAAAUUCUUGGAUUUUGUGAAGACUAACUUCUGCGAAAGCAUUUGACAAGGAUGUUUUCAUUAA